rnacentral:rRNA from 1 species
CAACCUGCCGUCUACUCUUGGACAGCCUUCUGAAAGGAAGAUUAAUACAAGAUGGCAUCAUGAGUCCGCAUGUUCACACGAUUAAAGGUAUUCCGGUAGACGAUGGGGAUGCGUUCCAUUAGAUAGUAGGCGGGGUAACGGCCCACCUAGUCUUCGAUGGAUAGGGGUUCUGAGAGGAAGGUCCCCCACAUUGGAACUGAGACACGGUCCAAACUCCUACGGGAGGCAGCAGUGAGGAAUAUUGGUCAAUGGGCGAGAGCCUGAACCAGCCAAGUAGCGUGAAGGAUGACUGCCCUAUGGGUUGUAAACUUCUUUUAUAAAGGAAUAAAGUCGGGUAUGCAUACCCGCUUGCAUGUACUUUAUGAAUAAGGAUCGGCUAACUCCGUGCCAGCAGCCGCGGUAAUACGGAGGAUCCGAGCGUUAUCCGGAUUUAUUGGGUUUAAAGGGAGCGUAGGCGGAUUGUUAAGUCAGUUGUGAAAGUUUGCGGCUCAACCGUAAAAUUGCAGUUGAUACUGGCAGUCUUGAGUGCAGUAGAGGUGGGCGGAAUACGUGGUGUAGCGGUGAAAUGCUUAGAUAUCACGAAGAACUCCGAUUG